AUGCUGGCUAAACAAUGCUGGAGGCUCAUUGAGAAUUUUGACUCACUUUGUGCUAGAGUUUUAAGGGCCAGAUACUAUCCUUCUGGGGAUAUCUUGAACUGCGAAUUGAAGAAGGGUUCAUCCUUUGUGUGGCAAAGUAUUUGGGCAGGAAUACAAACGUUCAAAAAAGGGUGCAUUUGGAGAGUUGGAGAUGGUACAAAGAUAGACAUAUGGAGUGAUUGUUGGAUUCCCAGCAGUGCAUCAAGGAAAAUUGUUACUGUCCGCGGGAACCAAUUAUUCACUAAGGUCAGUGACCUCAUCGACCCUUCCUCGGGUGAGUGGGAUGAACAUUUGAUAAGGGGCACUUUAUGGCCUAUAGAUGUUGAUCGGAUAUUGGAAAUUCCUUUGUUUCGGCAACAUACAGAGGAUUACAUAGCAUGGCACUUAAGUAAGAACGGUAUUUUCGCGGUACGCUCAGCGUAUUAUAAAUAG
rnacentral:rRNA from 1 species